rnacentral:lncRNA from 1 species
GGGACACCGGUAUACCGAUAAUAUCGGUAUAAUUUUUUCGGUAUACCGAUACCGGAAAUUUCUCAUACCGAACAUUCCUAAACUGAAGAUAGUUUUAAUUGUCAUACAUACUGUACCUGGAUUAGUAGGAGGUACAUCAAUGGUUGUCAUGGCCUUUCUGGCACUGUGUUUCUGGAUUGCCUCAUCCUUUGACUGCUUAUUUAGCAUGCUGUUCAUUGGCAAAGGAGUCAUUAAUUUCAGAUCUUUUUCUGCUUUAUUCAAUGUAUUAUCUCUAAUAGCACAUAGGGUUGUCUGGUAUAUCUCUUCAACAUAGUC